AAGAGGAGAGAGAAAAUCAAAGGGAGAUAAAAGUGAAUGUCCCACAAAGGACAUCGAGAUGAGGGGGAAGGAAGGGAGGGUGGUGGGAGUGAGAGGCAGAGGCAGAGAGAACGCCCUGCGGCCCAAACAAAAGCCUAAAACCAGCGGAUCCCAAGCAUCAGACGGUAGAGACAUAAGGACAGGAAGAGACUGGGCCGCGUGGGGAUCGGGCAGCCCAUCAGCCAAGGAGGAGAGGGAAUGAAGAAAGAUAAAACGCCUAUGUGAAUGGCCAGGGAAGAGGGUGGACAGGGACCCCGGAUGGAGUGAGGACAAAAGCAUGAAAAGACAAGAUCGCCACCAUCCCGUGAGCCACUCCACCGGGGCAAAACAAAGAGGAGCUGGAGACAAAGGCAGAGGGAGGAAGGUGGAGAGGGAACAAACUGGUCCUGCAUUGGCGACAGGGCUGUCAGCGUGGGGCUUAGCAGUACAUUCUCCAGAGUGGUCAGCUUAGGCUCUGGUGGGAAGAGGCUGGAGUGUGACGGCGCAAUCUCAGCUCACCGCAAUGUCCGCCUCCCAGGUUCAAGCGAUUCUCCUGCCUCAGCCUCCUGAGUAGCUGGGAUUACAGGUAUGUGCCACCAUGCCCAGCUAAUUUUUGUGUUUUUAGUGGAGACAAGGUUUAUCCAUGUUGGUCAGGCUGGCCUUGAACUCCUGACCUCAGGUGAUCCACCCGCCUCAGCCUCCCAAAGUGCUGGGAUUAUAGGCGUGAAUCACCGCACCUGGCCUGAGCCACCGCUCCUGGCCAGAGGUGCCCUUUACAGCCAGACUAAGAGGACCUUAGACACACCCAGGGGCAUGCUUUCGUCUCCUCAUGAGGCUAUGCCAGGUUGAAGAACCCCGACCUUGGGAAAUGUAUUCCUGUGAGGAGAGAGGCCGGUUAAACCCUCUGCUCAGAGCUAAGGCAAGGCCUGCUCUGUCCUUUUGUUCUGUAGGGAAUGCACAUCUGACAAUUACCCUAGCUGUGGGCAGAUCCUUAGAAGGAUGUGAGACCAGGGAGAAGUGGCCUGAGAGUGCCUUGGGGCUCAGAAGGUCCCCCAUAAGAAAGCCUGAAGAUCACUCUCUCUCCGAAGGGAGAAGGCAGGCCUGAGAGGCAAGGAAGCAGACUGGGAACGGGGCCGCAGGGGACUCAGAGCCAGCGUACCUGGUCAUUGCAGGAACACACACAUCUCCACGUUCCAAAGCCCCUCUGAGGGGCCCAGGUCUUCACUCAGAUUGUCUGAACAGCCCCACCAGAUUCCAGCUCGGCCAUCAGGAGCAAAGGAUCAGCCCGUGUCCUCACUUAGGACUGAGCAGCAAGGCGAACCCUACCUUCGCGGCCCUCCUCGUGCUGGGUGCAGUUCAGACUGUGGGCUUGGGGGGAACCUGUGGUUGUGCUUGGCAACCUCCAGAGUUGACUGGCCUUGGAGGGUCUCAGGCUGAGUCGGGGGCUAUUUUUAGUUCAUUUAAUCAUUUAGUUGCUUACUGUCUUUUAUAUCGUUUUAAUAAUCUUUUUUAUUUCUUUUAAUUUACUUUGUCUCUUUUAUUGUCUGCUAUAUUAUUUUUUCUCUUCCUGUUUUCUAUUUUUUCAUCUUAAUAAACUGGAUGCUGGGAGUCUAGGCCUCUGGGGAGAUCCAUGAGGCAGCCCUUGCCCCCAGGCAAAUGAAGCCGGAUGCUCUGCCCUCUCUGAUGGCCCCCAAAUCCCCUUACCAGGCACCUCACAUCCCCAUUGACUCUGCUGACUCGUAAAAACCUCCACCAGUGGAAUUCAGGAGCCCCCAGGCCAGAGUUGUCCCCAGGGUGAUGAUAAUAUAUUUACCUACACUUACACACAUUUGAAGUAUAGGAAAAUGUUGGUAACCCUUUUGCUAUUGUUUUUGUUUGUUUUUUGAGAUGGAGUCUUGCUCUGUCACCCAGGCUGGAGUCCAGUGGUGCAAUCUCGGCUCACUGCAAGCUCCGCCUCCCAGGUUCGUGCCAUUCUCCUGCCUCAGCCUCCCCAGCAGCUGGGACUACGGGUGCCUGCCACCAUGCCCAGCUAAUUUUUUUGUAUUUUUAGUAGAGAGGGUUUCACCGUGUUAGCCAGGAUGGUCUCGAUCUCCUGACUUCAUGAUCCGCCCACCUCGGCCUCCCAAGGUGCUGGGAUUACAGGCGUGAGCCACUGUGUCCAGCCACCCUUUUGCUAUUUUUAUAAUUAGAAAGUUAAUACAUGCUCAUCAUCAAAAAAUAUAAAUCUAAAAGUGUAUGAAGUAGAAAAUGUAAGUCCUCUGUUUCCCCCAAAUCCUUGGGAGAAACCUUGCUAAGAUAAUACAUGUGUGGAACUAAAUCUGCAGCCUAGAUAUACACUUACCCAUUUAAAAUUUGAUAGGUGGCUGGGCACAGUGCUUCAUGCCUAUAAUCCCAGCACUUUGGGAGGCAGAGGCAGGCAGAUCACCUGAGGUCAGGAGUUUGAGACCAGCCUCACCAACAUGGUGAAACCCCAUCUCUACUAAAAAUACAAAAAUUAGCUAGGCGUGAUGUUGCACGCCUGUAGUCCCAUCUACUCAGGAGGCUGAGGCAGGAGAAUCACUUGAACCUGGGAGGUGCAGGUUGUAGUAAGCCGAGGCUGCGCCACUGUACUCCAGCCUGGGCAACAGAGUGAGACACGGACUCAAAAAAUAAAAUAAAAUAAAAUUUAAUAGGUGGCUGGGCAUGGUAGCUAACGCCUGUAAUCUCAGCACUUUUGGAGGCUGAGGCAGGUGGAUUGCUUGAGCUCAGGAGUUCAAGACCAGCCUGGGCAACAUGGUGAGACCCUGUCUUUACCAAAAAAAAAAAAAAUACAAAAAGUUAGCCAAGCAUGGUGAUGUGCACCUGUAGUCCCAGCUACUUGGGAGGCUGAGGUGGGAGGAUCACUUGAGCCCAGGAGGUGGAGGUUGCAGUGAGCCAUGAUUGCGCUACUGCACAAUUGCAACAUUGCACUCCAGCCUGGACCACAGAGUGAGAUCUUGUCUCAAAAAAAAAUAAAAAUAAAAAUUGAUAGUUAAGGCCAAAUUGUCCUUCAGAAAUACUAAGCCAAUUUAUAUUUCUACCAACAGUUUAGGAAAGGGUCCCUUUUCCCUUUGCCUGCACCCUCACCAGCCUUCACCAACACAGCAGCAGGGCUAACCUAGACUUUUGGAAAUUGUUCCUGUAUCUGCCUACCCUUGUUUACCACCCCACCCCAUUCUCAGGCUAUUGGGAUUCAGGGUCGAUGGGAAUGACUCUCGUCCGUUAAUCACCAGGAGAUGCAACAUCCUUGCUGGGCAAGGCUCCUGCUGUGGACUCCUGCUGUGGACUCCCCCCACCGACCAGCACCGUAGGCCAGCUGCUGCCCCUACGAAGGACAUGCCAAUGAGCUCCCUGCAGUCUUGCAGAAGCAAAAACUUGCCCACUCAAGCAGGAGACCCCAGGCAUGCUUGAAGGUGGGCAGGUGCCUGUCUUCAUGUUCAAGUGGGCAGACACCCACCAAAUGCCAAAUGUGAGUCAUGCCUGUGAGUCCCUCAGAAUUUCUCCCAGAUCCUGACCCUCCCACCACAUCUAACAGCAUCGCGUUGCUCCGGGGAAUCCAAGUACUGUGUGUGCGCCCGGCAGGGGCCUGUGGUUAGGAAGGUGGGUGUUCCUGCCAGCCCACUGCUGCUGGGUGGAGAGUCCAAGGAGGGGCAGGGAGGGAGGGAGGUGUUGGUUGCAUAGUCAGCUUCAGAGAUACUCCAUCUGCAGGUGAGAGAGGACGGAUGGGAGGCAGCCCAAGCUAAGGGUAAACAGAUGUGGAGAUCAGGUGGGACCAGGUGGAAGAAGCAGCAGAAAUGAGGUGAGAGGGUGAGGAGGAAAGCUGGCUGGAAGGAGGCCCCCACAUACCCAGGACCUGAGUGCCAGCUGGCUCUUCAAGUCCAGGCAGCUGGUGGAAAGGUGAGAGCUAGUCAGUAUCCCAGAUAACUGGUUUGACGUUUCCUCUCUGAGUUAAUUGAACAGUUAACUUUGGCCACAGAAAACAGCCCUGAAUUUUAUUACUUGGAAGUUAAGACAGACUUUCUCUUUUCCUUCUGCUUCCUCAAUGAUGUGGCUUUCUGUGGGACAAACCUCCCAGAAAGAGAGAGAGAGAGAGAGAGAGAGAGAGAGAGAGAGAUGUUAGUGGCCAUAGUCCAUGGCAGCAGGUGCCUGGGUAGACCAUCA
rnacentral:lncRNA from 1 species